rnacentral:rRNA from 1 species
CAAGAAAUAACAAUACAGGGCUUAUAGUCUUGUAAUUGGAAUGAUGGGAAUCUAAACCCUUCCCAGAGUAUCAAUUGGAGGGCAAGUCUGGUGCCAGCAGCCGCGGUAAUUCCAGCUCCAAUAGCGUAUAUUAAAGUUGUUGCAGUUAAGAAGCUCGUAGUUGAAUUUCUGCCUUAUCAUUAAUUUCGCUUCCGAACGUAAUUUUAUUGAUUUGGCAUCUUUACUGGUUUUAUAUAUUUUAUAUAUUUUUCCAGUUAUUUUACUUUGAGAAAACUAGAGUGUUUCAAACAGGCUUUUGCCUUGAAUACUACAGCAUGGAAUAAUGAAGUAGGACUAUUGGUUCUAUUUUGUUGGUUAUUGAACCAUAGUAAUGGUUAAUAGGAGCAGUUGGGGGCAUUCGUAUUUAACUGUCAGAGGUGAAAUUCUUAGAUUUGUUAAAGACGAACUACUGCGAAAGCAUUUGCCAAGGAUGUUUUCAUUAAUCAAGAAC